rnacentral:rRNA from 1 species
CGAAACCGAUAGCGAACAAGUACCGUGAGGGAAAGUUGAAAAGUACUCUGAAUAGAGAGUUAAAUAGUACGUGAAACCGCUUAGGGGUUAAGCCCGAUGAACCCGAAUAUCUGAUGUGAGAAAUUCAAUACAAUUCAAAUUCUGAUUUUUAUAUUGGAUUUGUAUAGUAUGCACUUUUCUCAUAGUAAGACAUUGUAAUCCAUUGAUAUUAUAUCUCAAUUUUGAGAUGAUUUAACAUACGGACAAAAUGUUUAUGAUUAUUCUAUCAGUGAUAUGUUUACAUGUCAUAUGAAUAAAAUUCGUUUUGUACCUGUUUAAAUAGUCGAUGGAUUUUUCAUUGAAAUCAUGCUUGCAAUUUAUUUUGCGUUUCGUAUCAUUAAUUUUUAAUUGGUGAUAGCAGAAAUGGCAUGUAUUCGAUUAACAAUGCGAUAGAUUUGGGAUACUUUCAGGACCCGUCUUGA